AUGCAAGACAGUUGGGCACAUGAAGACAGGGAAGCUAGAAGCGAAUGUUGUACGGGAAUGUCUGCAGCUGCAAAAAACUGUCUGAGAACAGACACAGAAACUCUUCCUCAAAGCAGCACAGAGCAACACACACUAAAAGUCUGCCUACGUGAUGAAGGAACUGGGUUAUGGCUGAUAGAAACUCUGCUCUAUGCAGAUAGCACACCUGGUCCCAACUAAAUCUUCGGGCCCUAGGAAGGCAAAACUGCUUUUGAAAAACAAAAUGUUCUGGUGGAUUUGGAGCCACAGUGAUACAGUGAUACUGGCACAGAGCUGAGGACACGCGUCCAGAACUGCUGCUUGAAAAUGUGAUAGUCAUUUUACUAAAAAUAAGGACAUUCUUUGCAAUUUCUAGAGGUAUGGAUGGAGGGAAAACUGCAGUUGUCCUUUGCUUCUCAAGUGCCCUUUCAUUUCCUGCUGUGUGCUGAUAUUUCAAAGCCUCCACAUGAAUUAAAGUUCCAAUGAGAUUUGCCAUAGCGGUUUCUUGGGAAUGGCCAUAAAUAUAUUUUUUUUUUGCUUUGUUUUUUGUUCUCAGCAGAAAGUGUUGUUUGUGGUUAUCCCUUUUUUAAAUUAUAUCUCUUUUCAAGAUCUGAAAAAUGAGCUUUUGUGUGUUUCAGGAAGUAAACAACUUUUUUUUCCUCUGCCUUGUACAGGGCUGAGAGGUUUUGCUUUUGGACAUGGAGCUGGAGUUUUCAAUUACUGAAUCUAGUGGAAGGUGACAGAGAACUCACUAAUGUUUUCCCCCUUUAAAUAAACGUUUUCUGCAUUUUUCCUGUGAGCGGUCAUUGUUUUAGCAGGUUAAUUAUUUCAGCACAUUAAAUGGUCCUUGUUCCUACACCCAGUGCACUGAGUAAUUUAGGGCAUUUCCUUGGAUUGAGACAACUCUUUGCUGCCCUCAGGAACAUUUCCCAAUUUGCUCAGAUUUUCAACCAUAGAGGGACUCAAAAGAUUUUACAAAAUAUAAAAAAAUAAAAAAUAGAUAACUUUAAAGGAGGAAAAAGAAUCAUACAAAUCAAACUGAAUACCAUGAAGCGUAACCCCUGCGGGGCUCUGGGUCACAAAGCAGUGAAUAUAUUACUCUCCAAGGCUUUGCAAAAUUAACUAUGGUGUACAGCUCCUAUUUUUUUCUACUUCUUUUUUUUUUUAAAAACAAAAAGAUUCCUUAAGGCAAAUACACACACACACACACACACAGACACACACACACACACACAGACACACACACACACAGACACACACACACAAAGUAGGAAUGCAAGGGCAUUUGCAAAUUCAAUUUCUUGCACUUUUUGUUUCCUGGGGAAUGUUGAGAAGUGUGGGAGGUUGACUAAUAUUGCUAUUUGGUAUCAGCCACAGAGGACUUAGCAGGUUACAAAUGUAUCAGCCACAGAGGACUUAGCAGGUUACAAAUGUACCAGCCACGUGAUGAACUUACUGAUGCUAAAUAUAGCUAAAGUUUAUUGAGUACUUAUUUGCCAGGCACAAGGUAAAUUCUACCCUUGUUACUCCAGUUCUCAUUUAAAUCUGAAACAACGGGCAGAGAUAAAUGUCAUUAUCUUACAGUGAGUCAGCCAAGGUAACAUGGCUGCCUUAGUCAGCUCGGAUUGCUAUAACAAAAUACCAUAAACUGAGUAGCUUAAACAACAGGAAUUUAUUUCUUACAGUUAUGUAGGCUGAAUAUUCAAGAUCCAAGUGCUGGCCGAUUCAGUCUGCCUGACUGGUAGACAGACACCUUCUUGCUGUGCCCUCAUAUGGUGAAGACAGAGCUCAUCUCUUUCCUGUCUCUUCUUACAAGGGCACUGAUCCCAUUCAUGAGAGUUCUACCUUCAUGAUAUAAUUACCAAGACCCAACCUCCAGAUUUCAUCACCCUGGGGGCUUCAAAACAUGAAUAUUUGGGGAGAGACAAAUUCAAUUUAUACAACAGUCAAUGAAGGACAGAGGCAGGAAUUUAAUGCCAGCCAACCUGGAUAGCAAAGGUUUGCUUUCUAUCUCUGUUAUAUUGGAUUCAACUACAAAAGUACCUAUAUCUGUCAUCAGUUCCUAUUACUUCCAUGUGCUUCCCAUGGACAGGAGUGCAAGUUUUUAAAUCUCAGCUGUCCAUUGAAAUAGUGCGUAAUCAUUUCAUGUAUUGUGCAAAACGUUUAACAAGGGGCACUAGAAUCCUAUGUGUUUAGAGUGUUUCAACAAAUAUUACAUUCUAUAUUAUUUGGAGUUCAACUGACAAAAACUAGUAGAAUAUAAAUUUUAACAAAGUUAUUCUAACAGGAAUUGUAAGGUGAAUGCCAGUAUCUGUUUGCUUUAAUAGCAUUUAGAAGUUUAUAGAAGUUUAAAAGCAUUAUAUUUUAUACUUUAAAAAAAGUAUUACAUUAUAUUUUACACCUAUUUUAUUAAAGUGGUAAAUGCAUUUACUACAUAAAAUACAGAAAAACAAAAAAUAAAAAAAAAUUAAAAUCAACCUAGAAUCAUAUAUUUAGUGAUAAUCACUGCUAUCAUGUUGAUUCAUCUCUUUCUUUUACUUAAUAUAUUAUAAAGAUGGCUGGACGUAGUGGCUUGAUGCCUGUAAUCCCAGCACUUUGGGAGGUCAGGAGUUUGAGAACAGCCUGGCCAACAUGGUGAAACCCCAUCUCUACUAAAGGUACAAAAGUUAGCUGGGCAUUGUGGCAUGGGCCUGUAGUCCCAGUUACAUCGGAGGCUGAGGCAGGAGAAUGGGGAGGCUGAGGCAGGAGAAUGGCUUGAACCGGGGAGGUGGAGGUUGCAGUGUGCCAACUCCAUGCCCCUGCUCUUCAGCCUGGGUGACUGAGCGAAACUCCAUCUCAAAAAAAAAAAAAAGAAAAGAAAAGAAAAAAGAAAAAAACAAAUACAUUCUUGUCUCAAAAUAGUCUAACAUAACAUUAUGUUGAAUGAUGACAAACAUUACAUUGUAUGGAUAUAGUAUCCUUUAUUUAACCAAUCGCUUAUUGUUGGAUGUUUUAUUUUUGUUUCAUAAUUGUUGAAAACAACACAGCCAUUAUCUUUGAAGGCAAACAUUUGUGUAUAUUUAUGAUUAUUUUCUUAAGAUAAUUUUUAAAAAGCAGAAUUUCAAGGUCAAAAGAUACAUAACGUAUUAGGACUUUUUCCUUCUGAAAAAAAACAUACUUUUUUUUUCAGCUUUCCAAUCUACUGUAAUGGAAAAAAUCAUACCAUACUAAGGCCCAUCAUCUAAGUAAGAGUGCCUGUUUCUCCUCCCUUGUUAACACUGGAUAUUAUCAAUUUUAAAGUCAUUACCAAUUUAAUAGGAUAAAAUUGUAUUUUGUCUUGUUUUAUUUUUCAUUUCUUUUAUCACUGUGAGACCAGGCAUCAUUUUGUGGUUUAUUAGCCAUUUAUAUUUCUCCUCAAAUUACAUUUUGAGAAGCAAGAUUUUAAAAUAUUGUUGGCUCAGUUUAAGCAAUACCAAAUAUUCUGAUGACAGGUCAAAAAAAAAAGUUUAGACUUUUUUUUUCUGGAGUCCUUUUCCUUUAUUUAGAUGCAAAAACCAUAGUCUUUUGGGUUUGUAGGGUAGCUUAAUGUUGACACCAUGUAGGUAUUGCCUUGGUUAGCUUGGUGUACUUUUCUGCUGAAUGUAUAUGCACAUGAUGGGUACUCAAUGAACAUUUGGAGAAACGUGCAAACUAAUGACUAAUAUGACCCAAAGUAGAACUUUUUCUGACCUGACCAAAACAUAAAAUGCUGAGUUGAGAGGUUAUUUGUGGCUGCAGAAAUAUUAUUGGCAGGUAGUCUGGGGCUAUCAAAUUUAGUUUCAUCUGUAAUUAAAUUAGAAACGGACAUUCUUUUCUCCAAAGAGACUGGUAUACCAAAUCCCGCCUUUGACAUUUGAUAGUAUUAAACAGGACUUUAGCCAAUGAAUAAAGUUUCUAUUUAUGGAAAAUGUCAAGGGAUAAGCAUGAAAGGGUAGUAAUAUCAUUGUUUUCUAUCUAACUAACUGAAUUGAACAUGAACAGUGAGACAAUUUCUGCCAAAUAAUAACAAAUGUUCUGUCCUGAGAAGCUGGAUUAAAGAUUUGUUAAAUCGUAAAAGAUCCAACAGAACUGCAAAACAAAUAUUUCAGAUGUGGGCAAUUAUAGGUUAAAAAAAAUCCCAUGGAAACAUGCAUAUGUUUGUCAAAAAGAAAGGAGCCUGUUCCUGAGUGGCCAAGAUAAAUCCAGCUAUUAUUCCCCUCUUUGUGGUUUGUGUAUUUUCCAGAAUUUGAAAAUUGUUAUUUGCAAUUGGAUUAUCCAUAUCCUGCAUCCUACCUCAUCAACCCUGCACAUGCAUUCAUGUGCAUACAUGUGUGCAUGCACGGACACACACACAGACACACACACACACACACACACCAGUUUAGGAUUGCAUGUUCCUCCACCAUGAAUUACUCAAAGUAACAGAGACUUUGCAUUUCAGUCCUCCAAUAUGAAUCUGGCACAGAGCAGGUACUCACUAAAUGUAAAUGUGGAUCAUGGAAUGAAAGAAGAAACCUGCCAAAGCACUCCAGAAUAAAGCAUUCAAGAGGCAGUCCUGGCAUUGUCACUGCUAUCUGUUAAGUGGGAAGUCUGAGGCUGAGUGGAGACUUUCUCAAGAUUAUAUAGCUAAUGAUAGAGCUAAGACUUGAAUGCAAAGCUGCUAUUCAUAGCAAAAAAAUUAUGUUGUUUUAAAUACAAACAAUACCUGUUUCUGCAUUUUUAAGUCUACUCCAUAUCAUGAAAGUGAAUUUAAUAAUAUUAUAAAGGUUAUCUUCCAUUCUAUAUUUAUACCUUGUUUCAUUUCCCAAAUAAUUCAGAGCAAAGUAUGACUG
rnacentral:lncRNA from 1 species